AUUGCUUCUCAGCCUUUUGGCUAAGAUCAAGUAUAAGUAUCUGUUUUUAUCAGUUUGAUAUCUGAUACGUCCUCUAUCUGACUUUCCUUUUGGCUCAGCUGGUAAAGAAUCCACCUGCAAUGUGGGAGACCUGGAUUCAAUCCUGGGUUGGGAAGAUCCCCUGGAGAAGGGAAUAGCAA
ensembl:snRNA U2 U2 spliceosomal RNA